rnacentral:rRNA from 1 species
UAUCUCUGUAGAGUCUGCAUAUCAAUAAGCGGAGGAAAAGAAACUAACAAGGAUUCCCUUAGUAACGGCGAGUGAAGCGGGAAGAGCUCAAAUUUGAAAUCUUCAAGGUUUUACCUUGACGAAUUGUAGUUUAAAGAAGUGUUUUCUGUUGAAGUUUUGGUAAAAGUUCCUGGAAUAGGACAUCAUAGAGGGUGAGAAUCCCGUAUUUGACCAUUAUUUCCAGCUGUGUGAUACACUUUCAAAGAGUCGGAUUGUUUGGGAAUGCAGUCCAAAAUGGGUGGUAAAUUUCAUCUAAAGCUAAAUAUUGGCGAGAGACCGAUAGCGAACAAGUACCGUGAGGGAAAGAUGAAAAGAACUUUGAAAAGAGAGUUAAACAGUACGUGAAAUUGUCAAAAGGGAAGCGUUUGACACCAGUGUUGUUUUCUCGAAAAUCAAUUAAAAAAAGUUGGAUUUUGUGUUGUAUUGACCUUAACAGCUUUCUGCACUCUUUUCCUGCUUUUUUUAAUGCACUUUUCGUUUAACAAGUCAACAUCAGUUUCUUUUGUUGUAAAAGGGUCAUUGGAAGGUGGCUUUCUUUUCGGAGAAAGUGUUUAUAGCCUUUGCUCUCUGCAAUCGGAGAGAUUGAGGUCUGCAGCGUAGAUCCUUCGGGGUUAGAUACAUUUGUGCUAAGUUAUAACCUUUUCAUAGACAACUUGUUGACUAUGAUCAGUCAUGUAGCUUACUCGCUUAUGCUAUUUUACCUACGCUUAGGAUGUUGAUCUGUAGUGCGUGCGC